UCCACGCAGUAAACGAUGAAUGUUAGUCGUCGGGGGCCUAGUGUCUUCGGUGAUGCAGCUAACGCAAUUAAACAUUCCGCCUGGGGAGUACGGUCGCAAGACUAAAACUCAAAGAAAUUGACGGGGGCCCGCACAAGCGGUGGAGCAUGUGGUUUAAUUCGACGCAACGCGAAGAACCUUACCCAGACUUGACAUCCUGUGGAUCUGUAAGAGAUUAUAGAGUGCCCUCGGGA
rnacentral:rRNA from 1 species